ensembl:lncRNA LINC02395 long intergenic non-protein coding RNA 2395
GGAGGUGGGGUGAUAAAGUGGGAGAGGGGGAGGGGCUGCUGAGGAAGGCCACAGGGGCUAAGGAGGAUUUCCUCAGAGCUUUUGGGAAGCUAUACGUUCCUGGCCCCGAGGUAAAGCUCCCACAGGCUGCUUGACCCAACAGAGCAGCUCCUACCCACUGGGAUUCUCGGUCUGCAGGAAUCUGGCAUCCACCUGGGGAGCAUCUGGCUGAGGCAGCCUGGAGACAGGCACGCACCAGAAGACUUCUGGUUCCAUCCAGGCCCAAGGACCACUGAACUGGAGCGGUCUUCUCCAUCCCCCAGCAAGCCUGUGCGUGAGCUGGGGACAAGGGGCAGAGGAGGCAGAGGUCCCCCUCACACCAGGAAGGGAACAGCGCCACUAAAGGGCCUGGUGGAGGCAGGGUGGAGGUGGAAGGAGACUCAGCAGAAGGGGCCUGAACACCCUGUCCUACCUGGUCCUACCUGGAUGCUGGCCUCAGUAAGCUCCUGGGCUCAUUGAAGAUGAACCUAGCAGUAGUAUUUACACCACUUGUUGUGUGCCCACUGUGGGCCCGGCGCCAUGCCGAGUGCUCUAUGGAUGUGAGAUGAGAACACUGAAGCAGUUUUUUCUAAAGAUAGCUGCCUGGCACAGUGGCUCACAUCUGUAGUCCCAGCAUUUGGGGAGGCCAAGGCAGGUGGAUCACUUGAGGCCAGGAAUUCAAGACCAGCAUGGCCAACAUGUGCUGGGAGAGAAAAGCAUACGACAUAGACAGGGAGGUCAAGCUCCACCACGCAGAUGAGGUGCAGGCCACCAGUCUUCCUCUGCCACAUCUCUUUCUGAAAAGGCAGCCUGUGCUGAGAAACCAUGACUGAGUAAGCCAAGCUUUGUUGGCCGCACCUGCCAAGCCACAGGGUGCCUCAGGCUUGGAGCAUCCCGGAGCCAGUUACAACCCAAGACUUCAGCCUUCUGGAAGGUGUUGGGUCAGCCACCCUGAAGGACGAUCCUGCCCAAGUGACAUGCUUUGCUCUUCCUUCUCACCCAGGACUUCACAUUCACCCUUGCAAUCCAUGUGGGGACACUGUUGGAUAGGAGGCGUGGUCCCAGCGUGGUCUCCCUGUCUGGGCCUCUGCCUAUGCCAAAUGUUUGCCUUACGCUGCACACUCAAGAGGUUCCAUGUAUACAGAUGGGAAUUCCAGAGCUACAGAAAAGGCAGCAAGCACCAUGAUUUAAGCUAACCAGUGUGGAUUCACACCUUCCUCUCUCUCUAUCAGUGGCAGAACUACCAGCUAGAGUAAGAAGUGGUUGAUCCAGGACCUAAACAUUCUGGAAACUCUUGCCCACUUCUGGGAGAAAUGACCCAAUCCAUAGUACUAAGCACACCUUAACUUUCGUAGGACGCAGGCAAGUUGUCAUACCGUGUGCCUAAAUAUAGAAAAAUGAUCCACUGGACUAAUAAAGUGUUAAAUAAAAUA